UGCUACUGCACAGUCAACACUGUGUUCUUCAUUCACAUCACACUUCCCAGUACCUAUAUUAAUCUCUGCUCUCACCACCCACUUUUCCCAAAGAGAGAAAUGGGAAAGGGAGAAAGAGUUGAAGGAAGUUUUGGGAGAUGGGAGGUUUGGCAAAGAAACCAACUUUUUUUUUGCCGAAUCCGCCCAUUCCUAUGAUUUCCUUUGGUUCCUCUCUUUCCCCUAUCCUCUGAUCUUUAGUAAAAAGAUUCCAACUGUUUGUUGUUGUUCUUCUUCCAUUAUCAUAAAGAGUGAGAGGAAAUGAAAGCGAGAGAGAGUUGAAAGAAGGUUUUGGGUUUCGAGUGAUGGGAAAGAAUGACUGGUUUUGAAAUCAAAUUCUUUUCUAGUCCCCUAAGACCAAUGUUUUCUUUCACUUCCCCUCCCUUUCUCUUUUUCACGGUUUGAGUCACCAUUUUGUUUUGUGUUCCGUUUAUUUCACAGGUAAGCAUUUCAUGGUUGGAUCUAUGGGUUGUUCGUGUUCUUGGUACUUAGAAGAAGCUUAACCAGGUUUCUCUUAAUAAAAAUCCAAACUUUUUGUGUAAGACUGACCGGACUUCUUUAUGUUGGCUUUUGGAGUUUUCGUUUGUUUCACAGGUAAGCAUUUUAUGGUUGGAUCUAUGGGUUGUUUGUGUUCUUGGUACUUAGAAGAAGCUUAACCAGGUUUCUCUUAAUAAAAAUCCAAACUUUUUGUGUAAGGCUGUAAGAAAUAUUAGCUGCAACUACAGUCAUCUGCAAUGAAACAAAAUCACAACUCUGCUGUGCUGUUUUAUUCAAAAUCUGUGAAGUUUUGUGAUGGUAACCAUACCUGGGACUCAUAGUAUAAACAGUAAUAAUCAAUUUAUGGUAGCCUUUCUUGGGUUGAUAAGGAUCUGUAUAGUUUGGAAACAUUAAAAUGUUUUUAGACU